UGACCUUUAAAUACAAGAGAAGAAAUUUAGACCUUUAUUAGGGUCAGUCAUAGCUAGCUGUGACGUCGCUAAAGAUAAAUAAUAAUGUUUAAUCACACACAUCAUGAUCAUCUCAGUCCCAGGCAGACAAAAUCGGACACAAAAUCACUCCCAUGGGAAGCGUCAUUACAUUGCAUUGACGCACCUGAAAUGGUUUUAAAAAAGCGGGGUGAAUACAAAUGGCCAGUACAGUAUAGAGUCCAGACAGUUAAACCAAUUGAAAAUAUUUUACAGGACACAAGCCUACACUACUUUCGUUAUUGUAUUUAGGCGCUGAUAUGGACAGCUAGGGGUCCUUUAUGGACGAUUGUUUCAAAGUGUCAAAAUCUUUUUUUAACUAUUUUUUCACUAUAUAGAAAGUGCGUUUUUGAGAGCUCGUUACAUCUGUUUCAAACCAAUUAGAUAAUAUUGUACUGUACAUAAGCAUACACUACUUUUGUUAUUUUAUUUAGGCGCUGUUAUGGACAGCUUGGGGUCCUUUAUGGACGAUUGUUACAAAGUGGGGCUGGAAAACCCUGUUAAAACUUUAUAAUAGAGAGUGCGUUUUUUAGAGGAUCCUGGCUGAGCUGGAGUCUAUCCCAAGUGACUUGGGGACGAAAGGAGGACCACACCCUAGAAUGGUCAGCGGUCAAGACAUAAGGAGACUUACCGAAACAGACUCACACCAUCAAUGAGUGCCUACAGACCCCAUGAUGCCUGUCAGGCAUGUUUGACAGCAAUGUCACUCUUGGGAACUGAACUGCAUCAACGCCGUGAGAACAAUUUCGGGAAGCAUUAUUCUGCUCUGUAUGACAUGAGCAUGACAACAGUAGGUCAGAACAGAAGUUCUCCCAUGUAAUGAAUUGAUUAUUUGAGAUUUUUUUUGGGGAGGAGUUAAAUGCCUAUCAAUGAUUUAUUAAAAAAAAAAAAGAGAGAGAGAAAUGGAAUUGGAGAUGUUUGAGCUCUCUGUUUAAAGACAUGUUAACAAGAAUUGGGCGUUGCGGCUUUCUCCAUCUCCAUCUGGCACCCAGAGGAAGGAGUCACAGCAGAGGCCUCACGAUGCACACCCACUCCACUCUCACCACGCAUGCACAGUCACGAACACACACACAUACUCUCACACGUUGACGUCUUAACUUGAAACGUACUCGAAGUGCUACACUGAAAAAAAAAAGUACCUAAAACUAAGCCUGAUCAGUCGGUUGAAAUUAACCAAAAGGUCAUUUGCCUUUCAUCCUGUCGAGGAGACGAGUUGUUUAUGGUUGCACGUUGCGAUUGACUGCCAGCCAAUCCGGCGUGUAGUCUGCCUUUUGCUCAAAGUCAGCUAAAAUAGGCACCAGCUCUCCACAAUCCUGAAGAGAAUGAGCGGC